UACGUAGGGGGCAAGCGUUGUCCGGAUUUACUGGGUGUAAAGGGCGUGUAGGCGGGACUGCAAGUCUGAUGUUAAAUCUAUGGGCUUAACCCAUAUCAGCAUUGGAAACUGUAGUUCUUGAGUGAUGGAGAGGCAGGCGGAAUUCCCGGUGUAGCGGUAAAAUGCAUAGAUAUCGGGAGGAACACCAGUGGCGAAGGCGGCGAUCUGGGAAGAUACUGACGCUGAGGUGCGAAAGCGUGGGGAGCAAACAGG
rnacentral:rRNA from 1 species